rnacentral:lncRNA from 1 species
GCUUCAAGAGUUCUAGCCCCUAGAACUCGACUAGCCCCGUAUCGGUCAGGUUUCUUCAAGAACCCGACUUGACCCUUUUAGAACUUCCUCUGGACUUAUGAUUCUCCUUCUUCAAGACCAUUACAAUCUUUGUUUGGAUCAGAUAAGGCUUUAUCUUAAAUCUCAAAGCCUUGUCCUAAAACUAAGAUAGGUUGUAAGAAAGAAGGGAGAGCAAUGG